rnacentral:rRNA from 1 species
AGCGUAGACGGCGCAGCAAGUCUGAUGUGAAAGGCAGGGGCUUAACCCCCGGACUGCAUUGGAAACUGCUGUGCUUGAGUGCCGGAGGGGUAAGCGGAAUUCCUAGUGUAGCGGUGAAAUGCGUAGAUAUUAGGAGGAACACCAGUGGCGAAGGCGGCUUACUGGACGGUAACUGACGUUGAGGCUCGAAAGCGUGGGGAGCAAACA